UAUACGGGGAACAUGGUGCGAUAACCAUGAUAAUCAGAUAACCAGUGAGCUAAUAAGAUUAAACAUCCGACGUGAAAACUGUCUCUGAUUUCAAAUUUUAUUUCCCCAUUCCAAUUAGUUCUGUUCCGGACGACUCGUUAAUUAUUGUUUUACGGGGAUUUACAAAAUAUACGGUAGACAUGCAGUUUACGAACACUGUUUUAAAAAUAGAAAACGCGCCCACAAGCGGCCGAAUGAGAGGAGACCAAUCGAGGAAGACCCUGUGAAGUUCCAUGGGUUCUGCUUCCUGUUCAGCUCUCCUUCCCGGCUCCUUGGACAGCAGACCCAAAAUGGUGAGGGGGCAGCGAGUUUCGACCCCGGGGCUGGCGGUCGCACACACACAGUGACCUUGGCGAAGGGAGGGGCCCCUCCCUUACGGGCGGUCGAGAGCAGCUCAAAGGGGCGGGCCUGAGGACUUCAUCCCUGGACCUUAGCCAGGGGUCUACAUCAAAAAGCACGUAAAGGGGUCGUGGACCGGACCACACCAAGUGCCUCUGUUGGCCUCCACCGCAAUGGAGGUGGACGGACGUGACUCGUGUGUUCACC